rnacentral:rRNA from 1 species
GACGAACGCUGGCGGCGUGCUUAACACAUGCAAGUCGAGCGGUAAGGCCCUUUCGGGGGUACACGAGCGGCGAACGGGUGAGUAACACGUGGGUGACCUGCCCUCAGCUCUGGGAUAAGCCUGGGAAACUGGGUCUAAUACCGGAUAUGACUCCAUGACGCAUGUUGUGGGGUGGAAAGCCUUGUGCGGCUGAGGAUGGGCCCGCGGCCUAUCAGCCUGUUGGUGGGGUGANGGCCUACCAAGGCGACGACGGGUAGCCGGCCUGAGAGGGCGACCGGCCACACUGGGACUGAGACACGGCCCAGACUCCUACGGGAGGCAGCAGUGGGGAAUCUUGCGCAAUGGGCGAAAGCCUGACGCAGCGACGCCGCGUGAGGGAUGACGGCCU